rnacentral:rRNA from 1 species
UGGGUAACCUGCCUCAAAGAGGGGAAUAGCCUCCCGAAAGGGAGAUUAAUACCGCAUAAUAUGUUUAAGUCGCAUGACUUUAACAUCAAAGGAUUUUCUUUUAGAACUUCCACUUUGAGAUGGACCCGCGGCGCAUUAGCUAGUUGGUGAGGUAACGGCUCACCAAGGCAACGAUGCGUAGCCGACCUGAGAGGGUGAUCGGCCACAUUGGAACUGAGACACGGCCCAGCCUCCGUAGGG